rnacentral:rRNA from 1 species
GAUGAACGCUGGCGGCGUGCCUAAUACAUGCAAGUCGAGCGAACGGACGCGAAGCUUGCUUCUCUGAUGUUAGCGGCGGACGGGUGAGUAACACGUGUAUCACCUACCUAUAAGACUGGUAUAACUUCGGGAAACCGGCGCUAAUACCGUAUGAUCUUUUGCACCGCAUUGUUCAAUAGUGAAAGACGGUCUUGCUGUCACUUAUAGAUGGAUCCGCGCUGCAUUAGAUAGUUGGUAAGGUAAUGGCUUACCAAGGCAACGAUGCAUAGACGACCUGAGAGGGGGGUAGGCCACACGGGAAGGGAAACAGGGACAAGACGACUAAGGGAGGCAGCAGAAGGGAAUCUGACGCAAUGGGCGAAAGCAUGACGGAGCAACGCCGCGUGAGUGAUGAAGGUCUUCGGAUCGUAAAAAUCUGUUAUUAGGGAAGAACAGAUGUGUAAGUAACUGUGCACAUAGUGACGGUACCGAAUAAGAAAGCAACGGCUAACUACGUG